CAAUACUAUUGCUCUGAGUCCAUAACAAAACUCUCUCUCAAUCUCUCCUACGUUUCCCUCUCGCAGCCGUCGCCAUUGAGCUGCCAACCAGAGUCUGCAGCAGAUCCAGCCUAUGGUUCCGCCUCGGACCACCAUAGACAGUGCCGGUGUCACCCACACAGCAAACUCCACCGUGAGAUCCAGCCCCCAAUGCCCUUCUCUCUCCUUCUCUGUUUCUCCGUUUCUCCCAUCUCUCGGCCUCCACCCACCAAGGACAGUCCAAACCUCACUUCCAGCCACCAACUGACAGCCAUGGGGCUGCCUUGCACCACCUAGGGUUUCUCAAUCGAUUUUUAAUCGGGAGUAAGAGUGAGAGAAUCUGUAGCAAUGGCGAGGUACACGAAUCGUACCAGAAGUUACAGCCCUCGCCGGUGGAGCAGAACCCCGCCACUCGGCCGCAAGCAAUACGAAGAUGACCAUCGCGAUCACUAUCGCGAAGGCAGGUCCUAUAGAGACCGUCCCUCCCCUGUUCCCUCUAGUUUGCUGGUCCGCAAUCUCCCCAUUGACUGAAUGAUCUCCUAUUAAAGAAUGAAAUUUUUGAGAUUUUGGACUACGAUGUGCAUGAUAGAAGAUCUUAGGAUUCCAUCUGAGUGAUAUGGUCCGGUGAAAGAUGUUUAUCUGCCAAAGAACUACUAUACCGGUGUGGUGGUGUGUUGUGUUGACAGGCCGACUGAUGGGAGGAGGUGAGGUGUGCCCUUGUCCCCAAACGAGACUGUCUGCAUCUGCAUUUCUCUCACGUUUUCACAAAAUGCAAGACAUAAUUAGCCAAACCCCCUCAAAACCCAACCCAUCUUCUCUUCACUACAGUCUACCGCUGUUGUCCCCAUUGCUGCUACUGCGGCUCCCGCCAAUGAUGCCGCUGUCAUCGUUGUUGAUGUUGACAUUGUUACUGCCUCUUAUGAAGCACUAGAUUUUCUCCACCGAUUUUUCCUAUCGAUUUUCCCUUCAUCUCGAAGAUCCCUACAGAUGAGUUUUUGCUUAAUCUCCCCAAAUGUUGCCCACCAAUGGUUUUUGCAAUGGGUGUGUGCAGGGAUCAUCAAAACCAGGUACAAUUGGGAAAAUCUCUAUUGAUUUUGCAUACUAUGCUUAGGCGACCAAGCUCUCGUCUGCCUCUCUUCCCCUUAAGAAUUCAAACUUGAAUCCGGUUUUGCAUGUUUUGAUUCAGAGGCUGUAGGCGGAUGCCAAUCAAAGGGUAGUAGAACAUGUGAAGAGUCGAGCAUAAAAUUUAGGGAUCAGAGCUUGAUGAUAUCAUUGUAAACCAUCCUACUGAAGUAAGGUUUCAUCACAUCCAGCCAAACAAAUUUGGCUUUCCUACACAUCACCUUUACAUUUUGUCAUCUAAUUUUUUUUAUCCCCUAGAAAAAGGGGAAUGGGAAAGGGAGAGGGAGGUUGUGGGGAGUAAUGGUGCAAAAACUUGCUUCAUGCUUGUACAGUUUAGCUCAAGUAUGCGAACUGUUGCAGCAACCAGGAUGGGCCAACCAAUAAAACUACUCACAAUUCUGAAUUGAAUGGUAACCAAUACGAGGUCUAUAGCAAUUUGUCCCCGGUUUUCUUUUGUGACUUGAUUGGACAUGGGUACAGAUAAUAAGUAUAUAUGACAAUGCUUUGCCUGUCCACGAACCCAAACUGAAGAACCAUUUACCAUAUCCCCAAAAUAUUGCAGAACGCUUCAGAAAAGGAGUGAAUCAUCCACUUUGGUGAAGAAGUAGAUCAAUUUCGACAACAACGUCAUAACAGAUUUAAUGUCCUGUCCAUUACCCCCGUCAAUAAAACACCAACAUAAACUCUGAAUAUCGAUUCCCACCAAACUGUGCAGCCAUGAAACAUUGGCAUGACAUCUACUGUUGGCUAAAAAAAUUGUAAUAUAAAUUGUCAUGCUUUGCUUAUUCACUAAGCUUGCAUGAAUUUACGAUCUGUUUUAACUUUGUACUGUUUCACUUGGUACUUUAUGAACAUAUUCAAAUUAUAUACUUUGUAUGUUUACUUUGCCAUCCUAUGUACUUUGUCCAGUUUAUGCAUCCACAUAUUUCU